rnacentral:misc_RNA from 1 species
GACAGAGGGUGCAAGCGUUAAUCGGAAUUACUGGGCGUAAAGCGCUCGUAGGUGGUUGAUUAAGUCGGAUGUGAAAGCCCUGGGCUUAACCUGGGAAUGCCAUUCGAGACUGGUUAACUAGAGGUGGGUAGAGGAAGGUGGAAUUUCCGGUGUAGCGGUGAAAUGCGUAGAUAUCGGAAGGAACACCAGUGGCGAAGGCGGCCUUCUGGACCCAACCUGACACUGAGGAGCGAAAGCGUGGGGAGCAAACAGG